GCUAAAGUCGUUUGGCAUUUGAGCUAUGAAUGGAAUCUGCUCGCCUGUGUUCCUUGCAGUGAAAAAACCCUUUCCUGAAUAAUUAACUCAGCUGAAGAAGCUUAUAAAUUCUUCGUAAGGUCCUUUUUCCUUCUGAGUAGCAAGAAGAAAAUUUUCCACCCCUCACAAUUACAAUCUUGAUGAUGAAUGAGUGUCACGAAAUAUCUGGGAGCAGUGGAGAAUGUGGUGACAGCGUUUACGUAUGUGUCCCUUACUAUUGAUGUCCAAAGGUGACCAGAUUACUCACCCCUCUGCAGAUGAGCUCCAGACAUUACAUUCCAACAGCAGCACUGUCUCAAAACCACAGUGAGGACAAACUCAGCUGUCAGAGUGCCAUGGCCACUUCCAUAUUUCCCAGGAGGGGUAACCUCAUCACAUCCCCAGGGAGCUGCCCUGGGAAUUCUCUGUUUGAAACAGAGCCCUGAAGUGCAAUCCCUUGGGUAAGUACAGUGGUAUAAAGCAGUUUAUUCCUCUCAAGAGUAAGCAAAGCUUACUGUGGGGACUUUUCAUGGAUUUCAGCUCUGGGUCAGCCCUGUGUGUCUGGUUGGAUGGAGCAGCACUUCAGUGCCAGGGGAAAAUCUGUUAUUUCCCAUAGGAAAAGCACUGAUCCCUCUAGAAGGAGCUGAUCUGCUUCACACCCACCUUUUCUAUCUCUAGGAAUCAGAGCUGGACAAGACAUAUUUGUCACUGGUUACAAUACAGACCCAGAUAAAACAAAUUCCACACUUCCCUGCUGCAAAAUAAAUAUGUUGCUACAAGAGUCUCCACUUUCUCCCCAUGCCCACUGCCAUUGGCACAGGGCUUAGGAAGAAUAGCUAAUACAGAAGAACAACUCCCUUCCUUUCUUGUGGAAUUAAAUUCCAAUGAACUGGCAUUUUAAAUUUCUUGACAGCAAAGCCUAAAAGAAAUAUGUAUGGCCUCAGUGCAAUCUAAUGGCAUUAUAAAUCAAUCAAAACCACAUAAACUGUCGCUUGUAAUUUUCUGGGUUCAGAGGAAAAUAAAAUUAUAUAGUUAAGAUAAACUGAACUAUUCUCUUUGAACUUUCCCUUUGUUUGAGUUAAACACUCUGGAAGCCACCAAGUUAAUCAUGCUGCAAAACCCAUCAGGUUUGCAAGCUUAGAUUACUUUUUUUUUAAUGUGCAAGUGUUCAUUGUAAUAACUUGAAUUAUACUUUCUGAAUGGUGGGAGAAUACACAAUGGUGUCACAUCCCCCCAAACUAAA
rnacentral:lncRNA from 12 species